rnacentral:rRNA from 1 species
CCAAUAGCGUAUAUUAAAGUUGUUGCAGUUAAAAAGCUCGUAGUUGAAUUUCGGGGUUUGUCCAUCGGUCGGGCUUUAUUUUCCGUACUGGUGUGAUGAAUUCCUACCUUCUGAAUAACCUUCAUGUCAUUUAUUUGGUGUGUUGUGGAAGCAGAGCUGUUACCUUGAAAAAAUUAGAGUGCUUAAAGCAGGCAAGUGCCUGAAUACUUUAGCAUGGAAUAAUUAAAUAGGACGGCAUGGUUCUAUUUUGUUGGUUUCUAGGAUCACCGUAAUGAUUAAUAGGGAUAGUUGGGGGCAUUAGUAUUCAAUUGUCAGAGGUGAAAUUCUUGGAUUUAUUGAAGACUAACUUCUGCGAAAGCAUUUGCCAAGGAUGUUUUCAUUAAUCAAGAACGAAAGUUAGGGGAUCGAAGACGAUCAGAUACCGUCGUAGUCUUAACCAUAAACUAUGCCGACUAGGGAUCGGACGAUGUUAAUUUUUUAAUGACUCGUUCGGCGCCUUACG